rnacentral:rRNA from 1 species
UACGGAGGGUGCAAACGUUGCUCGGAAUCAUUGGGCGUAAAGAGCGUGUAGGCGGUCCGGUAAGUCGGCUGUGAAAGUCCAGGGCUCAACCCUGGGAUGCCGGUCGAUACUGCCGGACUAGAGUUCGGAAGAGGCGAGUGGGAAUUCCCGGUGUAGCGGUGAAAUGACGCAGAUAUCGGGAGGAACACCUAUGGCGAAGGCAGCUCGCUGGGACGUUACUGACGCUGAGACGCGAAGCGUGGGGAGCAAACAGG